UACGAAGGGGGCUAGCGUUGCUCGGAUUUACUGGGCGUAAAGCGCACGUAGGCGGAUCGUUAAGUUAGGGGUGAAAUCCUGGAGCUCAACUCCAGAACUGCCUCUAAUACUGGCGAUCUAGAGUCCGGAAGAGGUGAGUGGAACUCCUAGUGUAGAGGUGGAAUUCGUAGAUAUUAGGAAGAACACCAGUGGCGAAGGCGGCUCACUGGUCCGGUACUGACGCUGAGGUGCGAAAGCGUGGGGAGCAAACAGG
rnacentral:rRNA from 1 species